rnacentral:lncRNA from 1 species
CCUAAGAUAACAUGUGUAUCUCUUUUUCAAAAGUUUACUAGCUUAGAAGCCUGUUGUCAGUCCUAUUUGAUCCGCCCUUCGCCCUCCGUUAUGAACUCGAAGCUUGAGACGUCGGGCUAAGGGUAAAGGGAUCCUAUCUAUCCCAUUAAUUUACUAAUUAAGUCGCAAAAUGUUAAUUCUGUAUCUAAUUUUUUAUAUGAACUUUUAGCAAUUAUUUGGUAGGUGUUUAAUGGUGGAGUAAGCUGAUUGCUUAGCCGCCAGGCUCCUCUCCUCUGUGGCUUCUCCUUAUGAAAUAGUGUUUUUAUGUAACUUUGUCUUUGCUGAAAAACAUAGUUUAAAAAAUUUAUACAAUCUAAUAGUGAUAGUAUCAUAGUGCUUGCUUCAGGUGUAAAGUGGACAUUAUUAGGUGAAUUUAAUAUAUAUACACUUGUAAUGCAUUUCAACUUAUUAUAAUAUGUCAAUUUUUUACUUUUUCAUUUUGCUGUAUUAGACGAGGGUCUCCUGGAAACAACCUCUCUGCCCCUCGGGGUAGAGGUAAGGUCUGCGUACAUAUUACCCUCCUCAAACCCCACUUGUGAGAUUACACUGGGUUGUUGUUGUUGUUGUUGUUGUUGUUGUUGUUGUUGUUCAUUUUGCUGUAUUACUAGUUUAUAUUUUAUUGUAAUGAGUUAUCUAUUAUUGUAGUUCAUCUUAACCUAACGAGUUUCUAAAAAAGUUAUAGCUGUUUUGAGUUGAGGUUUGACCCUUACGCAGAGGGUUCUGAUAGUGAAAAUAGCAUGAGUUAGCAAGUUUUCGGACUGGUAAUUGAAAAAUAGCGCAAACCCAUUGAAAAAAUAGCUACUAUUUUGCUGCAACACGAAAAGUUCCAGCAUAAUAUACCAAAAAUUGGUGCAUCUGUGUAUGAACUUCCAACAUAUAUGCUGGGACUCCAACAUAUAGAAAGUUCCAGCAUAAUAUACUGGAGAUUGGAGCACCUAUAUAUGAACUUCCAGCAUAUUAUGUUGGAAUUCCAGUAUAUUAUGCUUGAAAAUCACAUGUAAAAAAUUCGAACUUCAGUAUAUUAUGCUGGAAUAUUUUGCGGAUUUUGAACAGUAUUUUUGUUCAGAUUUAUCUUUACAUUAAAAGUGGCUAAAUUUAUCUUACUUUUGAAACUGUGACUAUUUUUCAAUUUCUACUUGUAAAUCUGGCUAUUUUUGAAUUUCGCCCGUUUUAAUACCAUAUGCAACAACUCAAUCUACUAGUGAUAUUGUCCAUUUUGGUCUUGGUCCGCAUAGUUUUAAAACCCGUCACUAAUAUAAUAAUAUUUAAGACUUUAUUUACUUAUAUGCUUAAUAUUUUUCCCGUGUUUUGUCCAUAUAAAAUUUGCUUAUGGCGUCACAUCCGGUCUACGGGUAAACAAGAAAAUUAACUAGAAAUAAUAAUUGGAAUAGGAAAACAACAGUUUCAUGUAUAUAGUCGAUUAAUAGGUCUAGAGAAGGACAGUUCACUAUUUGAUGACUGUAUAUAAUUUGAAUUUGAUAUUAUACAAGUGACAAUCAAACAGUUUAUUAAAAUGAACUUUAUUGGAUUAUUGCUUGUACUUAUACAGCUCAUAUGGUUCAAAACUGGAAACAGCGAAUAUAAAGAUUCAACCUGUUGACUAAAUCAAACACAUUAAUCAUUUUUCAUGAUAAAAACAGAAGAAGAUUGUUACAUCAAUAUUUUUCGGGUGGCCAUUAGCCAUCUCGCAAAUAAUUGAACAUUUUUUUUUUAAAUUCCUAGGGAUAUUUGUAGAUGCUUAUCUUCGGGUACAUACUUGGUAACUUGCUCAUUGUACAAUAAUUUGCAAACCACACAGGAAAUGUAAAGCGCACUAGGCAAGUCCAGUGCAACGAGCUCAGACUGAGAAGACUGCUGGUGAGGAGAAUCGAUCUCAGAUCUCCUACGUGGAAACUAGUGGCGAAGCCAAGAUUUUCAUUAAGGGAAAUCCAAAUAUAAAGAAAUAAACUCACCAAGAAGUCAAGGGGUGUCAUUAUAUAGUAUAUAUACAUAUUAUUUUUAAACAUUACCAAGCUAAACAGUGUAAUUUUCGGACGAAGGGUUGUCGGACACCCCUUGAGUGCAUAUGGCUCCGCCACUAAUGAAAACCCAGUCACCCAACCAACUCAGCCAACCACUAAAUUUUCACCAUUGUUAUUACUUGCAAAUAAACAACUUAUCCAUUGAAUAAGAUGUUUUCGCCUAUACUAGCUAGAAUGUUUUUGAGUUACAAAAUGUGAUCCCUAGCAACUUUUAUGUAGUAUGUGAAUAUGCUAUAUUUGAUUUUAUAUACUCAAUUUUUUUUUUUAAAUCAGUGUUCGCAUUCAUUAUUAUAUUAA